rnacentral:misc_RNA from 1 species
GAGUUUGAAUAGGGUUGAUGCUGGCCUUCCGAGGCAUGUGCUCGCCCUUCUCAUCCAUCUACACCUGUGCACCUUUGUGGUCUAGGCGUUACGGUCCGUUGGACUGGAAGCCAGGCUACGUUUUAUUACACACGCUUUUUUAGUUCAGAAUGUAAACAUCGCGAUAAAACGCAUUAAAUACAACUUUCAACAACGGAUCUCUUGGCUCU